UGGGGAAUAUUGGACAAUGGGCGCAAGCCUGAUCCAGCCAUGCCGCGUGAGUGAUGAAGGCCUUAGGGUUGUAAAGCUCUUUCGGCGGGGAAGAUAAUGACGGUACCCGCAGAAGAAGCCCCGGCUAACUUCGUGCCAGCAGCCGCGGUAAUACGAAGGGGGUUAGCGUUGCUCGGAAUCACUGGGCGUAAAGCGCACGUAGGCGGAUUGUUAAGUCAGGGGUGAAAUCCUGGAGCUCAACUCCAGAACUGCCUUUGGUACUGGCGAUCUUGAGUCCGGGAGAGGUGAGUGGAAUUGCGAGUGUAGAGGUGAAAUUCGUAGAUAUUCGCAAGAACACCAGUGGUGAAGACGGCUUUCUGGUCUGUUUCUGACGCUGAGGAGCGAAAGCCAGGGGAGCGAACC
rnacentral:rRNA from 1 species